UACGAAGGGGGGCUAGCGUUGUUCGGAUUUACUGGGCGUAAAGCGCGUGUAGGCGGCUCGAUAAGUCUGCUGUGAAAGUCCAGGGCUCAACCCUGGGAUGCCGGUGGAUACUGUCGAGCUCGAGUCCGGAAGAGGAGUGUGGAAUUCCUGGUGUAGCGGUGAAAAUGCGCAGAUAUCAGGAGGAACACCGAUAGCGAAGGCAGCACUCUGGUACGUGACUGACGCUGAGACGCGAAAAGCGUGGGGGAGCAAACAGG
rnacentral:rRNA from 1 species